rnacentral:misc_RNA from 1 species
UGUAGUUGAUACUUUUGUGAAAAAAUAAAAGAAAUAAAUGUUAGGAAUAGAAACAUUUACUUUUGUGGAGAGCUAAAGAUGUAUUAAAAUAUUUAUUAUUGGUGUUUUGCUAAAAAAUACAUUGCAGCUCCAAAGAAUAUUUAAUUGUCAAAAAACAUAAAUUAAUUAAAUCGUUCAUUUAAUCAAACGAUUAUUGGCAAGUCACCAAAAUUUAAAGUAUUCAAAGGAGAAAAUGCACUUGCUUUAAUUGAGGAAGAAGAGAAAGUGUGAGAAUAUUUUCAUGUAAAGUUUAGCGGAUUAAAAAGUUAUAAAUAGGAAAUUUUGACUCAUCAAUAUACCGGUAACUUAAAUAGGUGGCAGUAGUUCAUAAAUUAAGAAGACUCAAGGUCGACGUCUACUUGCUUUCAGUGGUGUUAGUUUUUGCUUCGUUUUUGGGUGUGGGUUUUCCUAAAAGCACAAGUAACAAUAAAACAAACUAAACAGACAGCUGCAAAUUAUGGCCAUUAGCUUUGAUAAGUAUAGGAAGCAGAUUGAAGCUGGUUGGAAAGAUGUUUUGGACGACAAGUCAUCAACUGAUUGGGCAUUGUUUGGAUAUGAGGGUCAGACAAAUGUCUUAAAACUAGUGGCAAGUGGAGAGGGUGGCGUGGAAGAGUUAUGUGAGGAUUUGAAUAGUGGAAAAAUAAUGUAUGCCUUCGUACGAAUUGAAGACCCAAAAACAGGAUUAAAAAAAUUCUUGCUCAUUAAUUGGCAGGGCGAAGGUGCACCUGUUCUACGAAAAGGCACUUGUGCGAAUCAUAUACACGACGUAGCAAAAUUGUUGUCAGGAGCUCAUCUAACAAUCAAUGCUCGAAAUGAGGACGAUAUUGACUUGGAACGGCUUUUGAAAAAGCUUAGUACAGUUUCAUCGGCGUACAGCUUUAAGGAACCACGAGCUGUAAAUGACGAACAAAAAACGCCUAUAGGUACAAAUUACACUCGUGUUAUACCAACUAAAGAAUUAAAUGCAUCAGUCAUGCAAAAUUUUUGGAAGAAAGAAGAAGAAGAGGAGAAACAUCGUUUGGCAGCUGAUAGAGAGCAAAAGCGUUCAGAACAAGCCAAGUUAGAGAAGGAGCAGCGUGCACGAGAAGAAAAGGAGCAUUUAGAAAGGGAAAAAAAAUUGCAGAUGGCUAAUAAAUUACAACCAGCUCAUGUCCCCAUUAAAACGUCACCACAACCCUUAAGUCCCGAAAAAACUGUAGCUAGUAGUUUUGGAUCGGCAUUAACCGAAGCGGAACGUAUGCGACAACAGCGCAGCCAAGAAGCGAGAGAAUUAAUUGGAACUCGUGUUGGGGCUGCAAAAGCAAUGUUUACUAAACAUACUAGCGAGGGACAAUUACAAUGCAAACUAAAUACGGCACCGCCAGCAAAACCCGUUCGAAAUUCUAUAACACAGCGCAUUCAUGUUUUCAAUCAAAAUCAAUCACAAAAUGAAUCCAACAUUGUACUUUCGCACGGACACCAAGUGCUUGGCAAAACUACUUCUUCCAAACAAACACUAGAUGAACCUACAAAUGCUCCAAAAGAUGAGAACAAAUUUGAAAAAGAAGAAGGAACAAGCCACAAUUUGGACACAAAUUUGGAGCCUGUUAAGCCUGAAAUGACAGCUAUAGCUAAUAUUGAAGAGGAAUCAAACAGCAUUGAUGAUUACCCGUUAGAACCAGAUAGUGAACAGUAUUCGACCAUUAAAAGGUCACCACAUAGCAAAUCGAAUUCUUUACAAUCACCAGACGAUACAUCAUCAUCAAAUAACACGGAUACUGCCCUGUAUCAAGACGAAGAAGAAGAGGUUAUGCGUACUAAAGUUUCAGUAACAGUGCAGCAAUCCCAGUCACAAGCGGUAGCUACAAGUAAGAAUGGUUACUUGGGAGAGAGAAAUGACAUGAACGAUAUAGUUAACGAAGAUGAUUUCAUAUGUCAGGAUUCAUUGGGGGAUUUGGGCUUAAAAGCCCGUGCAUUAUAUGAUUAUCAAGCAGCUGAUGAAUCUGAAAUUACCUUUGAUCCCGGCGAUGUUAUUACUCAUAUUGAUCAAAUCGAUGAAGGGUGGUGGCAAGGUUUGGGACCUGAUGGAACUUAUGGACUGUUUCCGGCAAACUAUGUCGAAAUAAUAGACUAAUAAUCUAUAGGAAGGAGAAAAUUUUUUAAAAUAUAUAUUUUACUAAAAUUUUAGGUUUAUAAAAUGUUUAGAUAAUUUUAACAAAUAAAAAAAUUAUAUAUCUUAUUUGUUGAAAUUACUUUGCAUAUUUACAAGCAAUAGUUAAAAAAAAUCCAAUUUUAAACUCCAUAUACAGAAACUGUAAUUUAGAACUUUUGCUAAUUAAAUAUUGUAUCUACAAUUAAUACUUAAUCAUUAUAUUAGUGGUGCCAACUCUAAAGCAUUAAUAUGUAUUUUCGUAAAAAAUAAUUGUUUAUACAUUUUUUGCAGCUUUAUUUUUAAGACCUUAAUAGAUUGAAUCCAUUGUCAAAACCUGCAAAUGACAUCUUCAUAAAUAAUAAGAGAUUUGGAAAUAAAUUCAUAUUCAGUAAUAAAUUAUAUGAAUUUGCUACCAGUUUCGAGUCUUUUUAAAAGUCACUAAAUGUAUAUAAAAUGUUUACUUUAUAUACAUACAUACAUGUAUAUAUAUGUAUGUAUUAAUAUUGGUUUGUUAAAUAAAAAAAACUUUGAAUUUCAUUUUGAUAAUUUAUGUCAGUUGCAGAUUAAUUUUAAGUCAUAUAAUUGUUUUGUUUUUCUUACGUCCUUAUUUUAACUAUUGCGUCCUGUCACACAAUUAUUAUUUUUGUUGUAUAUUAUAUUUUAUUAAAAAAAAACUACGCUUAGCGUUUAUGUUUUUAUACAUAUUAUUUUGAAAACACUUAUGUCCUUUUUAUAUUUUACUCUUUCAUACAUUCAUAAACAUAUACAAUAAACAAAAAAUAUAUUAAAACGUAA